UUCCAGUGCACAGCCAGGGUUAAGCACCACUGAUUUGGUUUAAUAGAAGCUGAAGUGAUGUCCCAUAUCUACUUGGCUGGGAAAUGCCACAAGACUAGGCCGUGCAACAUUUCCGCAGUGCUCCUCGCUACAAAGACAUUCCCCUAAGGCUGGUGGGCAACUCAACACUCAGCUCAGUACGUGGUCAGCUCGUCCUCCAUAGGAGCCUUAUGCCUUGGUGAGGAGAUCUCUGAAGAAAUUGCUGAUGAAAGUCCAACAGGCUCUUCCAGUUUGUCUGGUCGGUCACAUUUGCUGAAACCUGGAGGAAUUGUUAGUGGAAGCUCAACAGGCCUGACUCAGUCUGACUGUCCAUUCUUCUGGAAGCUGCAGAGAAAAGAAACCUGGAAACCUUAUAUGCUGACAAAAAGGGACACAAUUGGAUAUGAUGGUUAUUUUACCAAGGUUUUGAAAUGUCGUGCUUUCAAAUAUAAACAGACUGCUUUAAGGAAUCGAAGUUGACUUAUAGAGCCAAUAAAAGCCCUGCAGGAAAGCUGGCCUCAUACUUUGUCUACACAGUCUCUGUACAGGUUUCCUGACCUGUGGUGAGUAAAGAAUGUCACCUUCUGAAAGUCCAGGGAUCCCAAGUUAUCUUGGGACCUGGAGAGGAGGAAAAUUCACCCAACUCAUACAGGUAUAUUUGCAGCCGUAGAUAAAUCUGUGGAUGGGCUCCAAGGCUUUAAAAAGUAUAAUCUGAGAUUCCUUAUGGAACAAAGUUUCAGCA
rnacentral:lncRNA from 1 species